GCCCAUCUAGCCCACUUGGUGGAGCACAAGGCUGUGAACCCUGUGGUCGUGGGUUCAAGCCCCACAGUUUGCA
rnacentral:tRNA from 1 species